ensembl:lncRNA
GGAGGCAGCUGGCCAUUGCAGCCAGCCUUUAAAAUAUGCCCAACCUCAGGCACACGGUGGACGGUCGGAGGCUGCAGUGUGGUGUUCUGCGAGUCUUGUUCUUUUGGACGUGGGUUUAUUCCUACUCACACACGCGCUCAGUGGUGAAAACCUUGGUCCUGGUCAGCAUUGCUCCCCUAGCCUGAGGCUACAGAGGCUCUGUAAUUAUCCGAACAUGAAAUGCUGAAACAAAAACACACUUGUCAGCGUACGCUGGUGGUGAUGUACACACACUCUUAAAAGGAUUAGUGCUCAGUCUCCUCAGGCUAUUACUCUUUUGUUCAGCCUGAGAUCCUCUUUCGCGUUUCAAUGUGUGUAAAGGAAUUUUUCCUUAAAGACGUCCCUACCAUUUAUUACAGCACAGGUGCCAAACUCGAGGCCCCCUUCGAAUCCGGCCCGCCGGGGGGGGGGUCCAGUGCGGCCUGCCGGAUGACUCUGUUAUUACCGUCUGAGGGAUUCCUCCAUGAGUCCAUGUUAAUUGGUCGGCUUCAGAGCACCUGUCUGCAUUUCACUUGCCAGAGGCUGGGGUUACGACACAUCCUGGCGUCUUUCACGCUGCGCCAUGUGGUGACAGGUGCUGAGUCUGCGGUGGUGGAUUGGUGUCCCAGGUGGUGGUGUCCCUCUUAUGUUAUUAUUUAGCAUGUUGUUUGAGUUGCUUCACUUUUAGUUGUUUCACGUAUGGUGGUCCUUUUCUUUGCACCGUCCAUAAUCGUAAGUCUCAGCCCUGAUUGGUUACCCC